AAUCCGUGAUGAGGGCAUUUGGUUUGAUAACCCUUAAAGCGUUCCCAAGCUUCACAGAAGGUUUCAUUUUGCUUCUGAGUGAAUCCGGAUAUAUCAUUCUGGAGUCU
rnacentral:snoRNA from 1 species